rnacentral:rRNA from 1 species
GUGAGGAAUAUUGGUCAAUGGGCGAAAGCCUGAACCAGCCAUGUCGCGUGAAGGAUGAAGGUCCUAUGGAUUGUAAACUUCUUUUGCAGGAGGGUAAAGUGAGCUACGUGUAGUUCAUUGCAAGUACCCUGCGAAUAAGCAUCGGCUAACUCCGUGCCAGCAGCCGCGGUAAUACGGAGGAUGCGAGCGUUAUCCGGAUUUAUUGGGUUUAAAGGGUGCGUAGGCGGACUAAUUAGUCAGCGGUGAAAUUUUGCGGCUCAACCGUAAAACUGCCGUUGAAACUGUUAGUCUUGAGUGCGGUAGAGGUAGGCGGAAUGUGUGGUGUAGCGGUGAAAUGCUUAGAUAUCACACAGAACACCGAUUGCGUAGGCAGCUUACUGGAGCGCAACUGACGCUGAGGCACGAAAGCGUGGGGAUCGAACAGGAUUAGAAACCCGUGUAGUCC